CACUCCUGCGGGAGGCAGCAGUGGGGAAUAUUGCACAAUGGGCGCAAGCCUGAUGCAGCCAUGCCGCGUGUAUGAAGAAGGCCUUCGGGUUGUAAAGUACUUUCAGCGGGGAGGAAGGCGAUAAGGUUAAUAACCUUGUUGAUUGACGUUACCCGCAGAAGAAGCACCGGCUAACUCCGUGCCAGCAGCCGCGGUAAUACGGAGGGUGCAAGCGUUAAUCGGAAUUACUGGGCGUAAAGCGCACGCAGGCGGUCUGUCAAGUCGGAUGUGAAAUCCCCGGGCUCAACCUGGGAACUGCAUUCGAAACUGGCAGGCUAGAGUAUUGUAGAGAGGGGUAGAAUUCCAGGUGUAGCGGUGAAAUGCGUAGAGAUCUGGAGGAAUACCGGUGGCGAAGGCGGCCCCCUGGACAAAGACUGACGCUCAGGUGCGAAAGCGUGGGGAGCAAACAGGAUUAGAUACCCUAGUAGUCCCAUG
rnacentral:rRNA from 1 species